rnacentral:rRNA from 1 species
UGGGGAAUAUUGCACAAUGGGGAACCGUAGAUGCAGCAACGCCGCGUGAGUGAUGAAGGCCUUCGGGUUGUAAAGCUCUGUCUUCAGGGACGAUAAUGACGGUACCUGAGGAGGAAGCCACGGCUAACUACGUGCCAGCAGCCGCGGUAAUACGUAGGUGGCAAGCGUUGUCCGGAUUUACUGGGCGUAAAGGGAGCGUAGGCGGAUACUUAAGUGGGAUGUGAAAUACCCGGGCUCAACUCGGGUGCUGCAUUCCAAACUGGGUGUCUAGAGUGCAGGAGAGGAAAGUGGAAUUCCUAGUGUAGCGGUGAAAUGCGUAGAGAUUAGGAAGAACACCAGUGGCGAAGGCGACUUUUUCUUGGACUGUAACUGACGCUGAGGCUCGAAAGCGUGGGGAGCAAACA